AGGAGCGAACGAGGAGGAGUGGGCCACCAGAUCCCCGCAGACUUCAGGGUGGAAAGUGUUCAAUUAAAAUGCAUUCUGCUGGAGUUCAGCAGCAUUUCAACAGAGCCACCAUUGUCUCCGUCUAAACUGCUGCUGCCCACAGCCCGGCAAGCAGCAACGAAACAGGCUGUCGUCAUGGAACCGGAAUGUAGGGUCCUGGCCCUCCCGACAGCACCAGAAACGCCGCUCUGUUUACCCACGUUGCCCCUAUUUAAAAACAAAACAAAAAGCCUCACUCCACCAUCAGCACUUCAGCAUCCAAGACACCAGAGAAGGACAGACAGUGGUGGGAGGACGCUCCAUAUGCCAGCGGUGUGAGAACUAAAAGCAAAGAAGGAAGUCAGAGCAGAAGAGGUUUCAACUUCAAAAUGGAGCCUCCUAACAAUGGGGAUAUGAAGACUCCAGGAGGGGCUGCCUUGUGCACCCCUCCUGCUAUCCAAAGUAAUCCAGCGGACGGAGCCUGAUCAGCAGUGCUGCUGGAGGCAUUUCGAUACGGGGCAAACAGCACUUCACAUAUUGCCCUUUGUUUUACUGAAGAUGAAGAGGGGCAGAAACUCCAAGCACACAAAAUGGAACUAGAAACAGACCCACCUUGAAGAAAUGUACAACCAGGAUAACAGCCUGCCAGGAGGCGGAACCAGGAAAAAUGGAGUCUGGACAGAGUCAUCCAUGCGGCACACUGAAAACAGCCCCCAGAUGAGGUAUUGGGAUUGGGCAGUGGGUUCUAGCCUCAGCUCACCCUCUGCUGGCCAGGAAACCCUCUCUCAUCUCAGGCCUCACCUUCCUCUGAGAAAUAGAAAAAGCCUCACAGGAACAUCUCUCCCUGCCUCUUCAUGACCCAAGUGUUACCAGCAAACUGCAGUAAAUCUGGAUCUCCUUCAACUACCAGAGAACUUCAAGCUCUACUGUCAGGAAGGGAAGAGUCUUCCAACUGGCAGGAAAUACCCCACCAGCGCAUCUGGCUCUCUCCCUGCACGUCAUUUGUACUCACUUAUAUGUGCCUCCUCUAAGACUUUGCCCCUCUCCCCACAUAAUGAAGUAUUGUCUAGGCCCUACUCCAAUGUCACCUCUUCCAUGAAGGCCUCCUGGAUCCCUCCCUUCUUACCACCUGUUCCAUUCUCUCCUGCCUCCUCCACUCAAUAGGUCUCAUGGGUAGUGGACUCCCACUUAUUGCUAGCAAUGGGGAGCUUAUUUUAUCACAAAUAUUUCAAAGGGCUCUGCACAAACCUGGAGUCAACUCUCUAAUGCAUCUGCACCUAAGAAGUCCUCAAUACCACUGGGUGAAGUUUCCUAGACAUUAUUUGGAAGGCCAAGCUCCUUGGUGACAGUUCACUCACUAUAUACUGAAAUAUUUUAGAAGAUUCUAUUGUAAACCCAGAGCCAAAAACCUUUCUCCUGGAACACCUGGGUGGCUCAGCAGUUGAGCGUCUGCCUUUCGCUCAGGGUGUGAUC